rnacentral:rRNA from 1 species
UAACAGGAUUAGAUACCCUGGUAGUCCACGCCGUAAACGAUGGUCACUAGCUGUUCGGAUUUCGGUCUGAGUGGCUAGGCGAAAGUGAUAAGUGACCCACCUGGGGAGUACGUUCGCAAGAAUGAAACUCAAAGGAAUUGACGGGGGCCCGCACAAGCGGUGGAACAUGUGGUUUAAUUCGAUGAUACGCGAGGAACCUUACCAGGGCUUAAAUGUAGAGUGACAGGUCUAGAGAUAGAUUUUUCUUCGGACACUUUACAAGGUGCUGCAUGGUUGUCGUCAGCUCGUGCCGUGAGGUGUCAGGUUAAGUCCUAUAACGAGCGCAACCCCUGUUGUUAGUUGCCAGCAUGUAAAGAUGGGAACUCUAACAAGACUGCCGGUGCAAACCGUGAGGAAGGUGGGGAUGACGUAA